GUUUCUGUCUUUGGUUAUCUAGCUGUAUGAGUGUUGUGGAGCCAUCAUAAAGCUAGAUAACCGAAAGUAGAAAUGACUUCCAGACCUGCUCGCCCUGGGGAAGCGGCCGCAGCGGGACCGGCGGUGCAGAAGCGACCCGCCCAGCCGCCCUCGGGGCUCCAGACAUGACUGCGAGUUCACAGAGUGGGAUGCCUUGGGAAGGGCUGGGACGUCUGCACCUGAGCAAGGAGAGAUCCCAGCGAGGGAGAAGGGACUUUCCAUGCCUAUGAGUUCCUUCUUGCAGUUGGCUACCGUUUGCCUGGCCUUGCCAUCUGACAUCUCCAGGAGGAUCCCGGCCUGCUUCUACAAUGGCCCCAGAGAGGAAGUGGCUUUGGCUCAUGAACACAGAGGGUUUCUGCACCGCUUCGGAUCACGCCGGUCCAGCCAUGGGGAGGGAGCCAGGGCAACACAGGGAGCAGGGGAUCAUCCCACACCACUCCUGUACAUUGUCUUUGGUGCCCUAAAUACCCCAGAGCAGGACCACAGUGCUUAGGCAGAGGGAUCUGAGCAAGCCACCAUCUCACCUGGCAAAAUGCUGGGUGCAUGAAGGCUGGAAGGAGCUUUCAGCACUGGCCUUUGCUCAUGGAGCAGAGCUUGGGUGCUCCUCAUCCUUGGGUGUGCAGAGCUGCAGGAGCGCAGCCAUCCUGACAGCCCUGCGUUCAGAGCUCUGAGGACCACGAUUCUGCCCAGGCUGGGCAGCCCUGCUGCUCUUUUCUCCCACCCUCUUUGUUCCUGCAAGAGAAACGUACUGGCUGUAAUCCUCUCCCAUUAAAAUCCCUGUUUGAAAAAUAAAACUCUCCCUUUUGCAAAAGUGA